rnacentral:rRNA from 1 species
CCAAUAGCGUAUAUUAAAGUUGUUGCAGUUAAAAAGCUCGUAGUUGAACUUCGGGGUCUACCCAUUGGUCAGGCUUAAUUGUCUGCACUGGUGAGAUGGAUCUCUACCUUCUGAGGAACUUUCAUGCCAUUUAUUUGGUGUGGUUGGAAAUCAGGACUGCUACUUUGAAAAAAUUAGAGUGUUUAAAGCAGGCUAUCGUCUGAAUACAUUAGCAUGGAAUAAUGAAAUAGGACGGACUGAUUCUAUUUCGUUGGUUUCUAGGAUCACCGUAAUGAUUAAUAGGGAUAGUUGGGGGCAUUAGUAUUCAAUUGUCAGAGGUGAAAUUCUUGGAUUUAUUGAAGACUAACUACUGCGAAAGCAUUUGCCAAGGAUGUUUUCAUUAAUCAAGAACGAAAGUUAGGGGAUCGAAGACGAUCAGAUACCGUCGUAGUCUUAACCAUAAACUAUGCCGACUAGGGAUCGGACGAAGUUAAUUUUAUAAUGACGCGUUCGGCACCUUACG